ensembl:lncRNA
CUUGAAACAAAACUGUUGGAAUAAACUGCUGUAGAAGCCACAAUGGCUCAAACUACCACUUCUGCAGAUAUUACUACAGAAAUUUCUACUCUUGGUACCACUUCUACAGAAAUGACAACUGCUGGAACAACAACCUCAGCUAUAAUUAUGCCUGCCUUAAAAUCUGCUGCUGAUUCCACAAUGGCUCUAAAAACUACAGCUUCUGCAAAAAUAUAUCCUACAGUUACCACUGCAAUAGAAACUAGUUCUAGUACUAUGCCUGGCAUUAAUGUCUGCUGUUAAAAUCACAGCGUAUCAAACCGAAACUACUAUGGUGCCCUUGGCACCAGUGCUGCAGAAACUACAACCCUAGGCACCACUUUUACUGAAACGCUGUUAAUUCAACAGGAAAAUUUAUGGAAAUAUCCACACCAGUAAUGACACCUGCUGGAACAAUCACAUCUGAAACUACUCCUGGCUUAACAUUUGUUGAAACCACAGUGGCUCUGAAAACUCCCACUUCUAUGGAAACUAUUUUCCUAGGCACGACUUAUCCAGAAACUACUACAAUCUCGACAGUCUCUUCAAAAACUACAACUUCUGCAGUAGGUGAAUUAACUUUGUGGUCACAAUGGCCACAACGGAGGCUGCAGAUUUAAAGAUGUGUGGUGUAUGAACGGAACUGUUUUUCAGAUGUUCAUGUUUAUCUAAGGAACAAGCCUACCAUUGCUCGUGCCACUACUAACAAGAUGAGAUGAGCAGAUGAUGGACCGAGAUAAGGACAAGAUCUUGUGGGAUUCCCUAAAGACUGCUAAACUCUGUUACAGAUACUGAUCUCUGUGCUCAUGCCUCUUAAUAUGGGAAUAUAAAUGUAAAAAGAAAAUAAAAAUUUAAGCAUUUAAAGAGGCUUCUGACA